ACUAAUUAAAACAACAGGGUGGAAUAAUCUGCCCUCUCGAUUGUAGCUCAGCACGGACAGACUAUAAGUCAGGUGGUCGUUCCCCACCUGGCCUGAAUACCGCAAAACGCUGUUCAACAAUCUUCGAGGGUAGCAGGAGUCCUGCUACCCUUUUUUUUCUG
rnacentral:sRNA from 1 species